rnacentral:rRNA from 1 species
CAAUAGCGUAUAUUAAAGUUGUUGCGGUUAAAAAGCUCGUAGUUGGAUUUCUGCCGAGGACGACCGGUCCGCCCUCCGGGUGAGUAUCUGGUUUGGCCUGGGCAUCUUCUUGGAGAACGUAGCUGCACUUGACUGUGUGGUGCGGUGUCCAGGACUUUUACUUUGAGGAAAUUAGAGUGUUUCAAGCAGGCACACGCCUUGAAUACAUUAGCAUGGAAUAAUAAGAUAGGACCUCGGUUCUAUUUUGUUGGUUUCUAGAGCUGAGGUAAUGAUUAAUAGGGAUAGUUGGGGGCAUUCGUAUUUAACUGUCAGAGGUGAAAUUCUUGGAUUUGUUAAAGACAGACUACUGCGAAAGCAUUUGCCAAGGAUGUUUUCAUUG